rnacentral:rRNA from 1 species
AGGGUGAUGCCUGCCCAAUGGUUGUAUCUAAAAGCGGUUGAUAAAAGUCGACCUCGUAAGGACAAUUGAAUGGCCGCGGUAACACUGACCGUGAUAAUGUAGCGUAAUCAAUAGCCAAUUAAUUGUUGGCCAGUAUGAAUGGCGCCACGAAGGCCCCACUGUCUUAAGGAAAUUCCCAGUGAAAUUGAAUUCGUAGUGAAGAUGCUACGUCCAAUUUGUUAGACGAAAAGACCCCGUUGAGCUUUACUGGGGCACUUACACGGCCCCGGCCUUCCCGUGUCCGGGAACCGGCCGAAUUUAAAUGGGUGGUUUAGACUAUGUGGCAGCCCCCCGCCGGGGCAGAUGAAACCCCACUCCCCCAUGUCAAAGGGGCUAACCCCCUCUUGGGGGGGAGAGUGUAAGUAGGACAGUUUGGUUGGGGCGACCGCCUUUUAAAGAGUAACGAAGGUGCGCUUAAGGUGCGCAAUUAAUGACUGAAGCCUGACUGCGAGGGGGACACCCCGAGCAGACACCCCUAAGUCCGCCCGAAGGG